AGAAUCAACGCUGGCGGCGUGCCUAACACAUGCAAGUCGCACGAGAAAGGGGACUUCGGUCCUGAGUACAGUGGCGCACGGGUGAGUAACACGUGAAUAAUCUACCUCCGAGUGGGGAAUAACUGAGAGAAAUCUUAGCUAAUACCGCAUAACACUUACGAGUCAAAGCAGCAAUGCGCUUGGAGAGGAGUUCGCGGCAGAUUAGUUAGUUGGCGGGGUAAUGGCCCACCAAGACGAUGAUCUGUAUCCGGCCUGAGAGGGCGCACGGACACACUGGAACUGAAACACGGUCCAGACUCCUACGGGAGGCAGCAGUGGGGAAUUUUGCGCAAUGGGGGAAACCCUGACGCAGCAACGCCGCGUGGAGGAUGAAUCCCUUGGGAUGUAAACUCCUUUCGAUAGGGAAGAUAAUGACGGUACCUAUAGAAGAAGCCCCGGCUAACUUCGCGCCAGCAGCCGC
rnacentral:rRNA from 1 species